rnacentral:lncRNA from 1 species
UUGAUGUGUUUUUGGUGGAUCAGAUUGGGGAAGCAGCCCGUCGGCGAUGGAGGCACGUCAGGGAGGGAGGAGGAGAACGGAUUGGGGAAGGAUUCUCGUAGGGUUGGCGUGGUAAUUAUUGCGGGGGUAAGGGUUGUCUUGGGCCUCAUGCGAUGCGCGCGCCCUCGCAUGGAUGGGCCUCGCGAGCGGGGUGCCUCAUGUUCAUGGAGGGAGAAUCGUGCGGAUGUAUCCCUUACACACCGACCGGUUGGUGGUUAGCACAAUCCAUCAUAUAAUUAAUGUGUAUUAGUAGUCUCUUGUUGUUGCGGUUUUUGCAAUGAGGACAUUGUUUCCCAAUAUAUAUUGCACUACUGGUAACUUGUAUUUUUGACAUCAGGUGUGAUUCAAUUUUUAAUAUUUCCCCAUUAUGCCUACUAUUUUUAGAUGGUUGAACCUCGUGGGCUUGGUGAUGUUGAGAUGACUGAAGAGCAGAGGCGAGUUUAUUUGGAAGAAGAAAUAAAGAAUGAGGAGUAGGAAAAUUAAAAGAAGGAGAUGUAAGAACGACCUAGAAAAAGGUAGAUGAAAAAAAGUUAACAGAUGUGGGAUCACUUUUCUAUGUGUUAUGUUUUAAAGUGUAAUAAUAUGGUUGUGUAACUUGUGUUUGGUUGAACUUGUACUUUGGUUAUGUGUUGUGCUCGGACUUGGACUUUGGUUUUGUAUUGGAGUUCUAUUACUAUAUUCUCACUUAUUAGUGUGGGUUUUAUAAGUUGAUUGGUUAUGCAUCUCUCACUUUUAUGAAAUCCUUGUAUCUGAUAUUAUGUGAUAUUUGACAAGAUAUGAAUAUGUUCCACUUCUAUGCAUUUUCCAAUUUUGUGUUGUUAUAUUGCCAAACAAAUUGUUUACAAUAUGCUUGUUUAUAUGCUCUGAAAGUACAUUAUAUGUAGUCCAAUUUUAGUGCCAAAUUCGGUUUCCAAUUUUGCAAACCGAAUUCACAAAAAAACAGGGGGGGGGAAAACCAAAAUUUUGGUUUCUACUCACCGCCCAUGCCUAAUUGCUAGUAGUGUUGAUUACAUCUUGUAGUUGAUGCUAGGUUGUUUAUUU